AGAAUCAACGCUGGCGGCGUGCCUAACACAUGCAAGUCGCACGAGAAAGGGGCUUCGGCUCUGAGUAAAGUGGCGCACGGGUGAGUAACACGUGACUAAUCUACCCUCGAGUGGGGAAUAACCUAGAGAAAUCUGGGCUAAUACCGCAUAACACUUACGAGUCAAAGCAGCAAUGCGCUUGGGGAGGAGGUCGCGGCCGAUUAGCUAGUUGGCGGGGUAAUGGCCCACCAAGGCGAUGAUCGGUAUCCGGCCUGAGAGGGCGCACGGACACACUGGAACUGAAACACGGUCCAGACUCCUACGGGAGGCAGCAGUGGGGAAUUUUGCGCAAUGGGGGAAACCCUGACGCAGCAACGCCGCGUGGAGGAUGAAAUAUCUUGGUAUGUAAACUCCUUUCGAUGGGGAAGAUUAUGACGGUACCAUAGAAGAAGCCCCGGCUAACUUCGUGCCAGCAGCCGC
rnacentral:rRNA from 1 species